GUCACUCUGGAGAAACUCAAUGAUGAGUGCCGAAGGUGCAACGUGCGGUCACGGAACCGUACCAAUCUCUCAGGCAAAAGGACAGAGGUAA
rnacentral:ncRNA from 1 species